UCUCUCGGUUCUCGGUCUCGAAGCUGUUUGCAGACGAACAGAAACGCUAAAGGAUGUAAAUGAAUGAAAGGAAAGAGCUGGAACAAAAGCAAACGAGCCGCAAUGGAGGAGCGUCUAGCUGAGCUUAUGAUGCUGCAGAGCCUCCUCUAACUUUCAUCCUUCACUUUCAUUUGGAGCUGAAGACACGAGCACACGGGAAGCCAGUGUAAGGAGCGCUGAAGGAGCAUUUGGAGAGAUGGAGAGAUGAACGUGUGUUCUCCAGCAGGAUGAUGGGAGAUGAGGAAGAUUAAAGAUGUGAAAGACAAACUCGGAUGGAUCCUACCUGAUCCUGUAUCACUCCGAAGAUGCACUGAUGUCACUUCCUCUGCUUCCUGUUAUAACUUCACCUGAACACAAACAAACACCAUCAGACACUUUUUUUAAAAAGUGGAAAUCAGUCCUAUCUCUGGUUUUUAUGAUCUUGUUCAUUUUAUUUUUAAAACCAGGUAAGUGUAUCUAGUAAUGCACAUGCAGUUAUUUUGUUGCAUUUCAAUAUAUGCACAUUCACCUCAAGCUUUCUGGGUGGAUUACAAAAUACUUAAAUUAUUAUAUUAAUAACACCUGGACCUGUAAUUUAGAUUCACUAAUGCAAUGACCCUCAGAAGUGCUUCAUUCACCUGAUUCAGUAGUUAAUAAUACAAUGAGCAUCUGCUGUAAUUCAUCAGUGUGUGCUUGAGUAAUACUGCAUUGUGAUGAUUUUAAAUAAAGCUUCUACUUGUGAUUUA